AUUCUGCUGCAGAAUAGCUCACAGACCCAUGGGCACGCAGCCUUGUUCAUCUUAGUAAAUAGAUUCAUAGUGUAGUUCUGGAGACGAGUAUGUAGGCCCCCGGCAGACAGAGCAGCCCCUUAAAAGGUCCAGUGUCAGGGUUUUCAUGUCUUGGCCACCAGACCCUACAAGAUACACUGAAGAGGCUUUCAGAAGAGCGCUUCCUCCCCUGGAGAUGAGGUUAGCAGCCUGGCCUGGCACGGGCCAUCCCUAUGCCAAGGCCAGGCUGGUCCCAUGCUGUCGGGUUGUGGGGCACCCAUGGAGUCGAGCAGAGGGGACCCCAGGGCUCGGGCGCGGCUCCGUGGUUAGGAGGAUAUGGAAGUGUGCUAAGACCCAGCCUUGGGCCUCGCCCGGUGCACCAGGUUCAAGAAGUCCCGCUGUGGCUCCAGGGUACCCACCGAGCCCUCAAUUCCGCUUUCAGGACAGAUGGAAGCCAUCAGCACAAACCCGGAGAUACAGCGGGAGUGCAGGCUUCCAGGACUGCAAGCACCUGACAUCGCCUGGAUGCAAAGGAAAUACCCACGCUUUUGUUCUCUCCAAUACCAGAAGAGCAAAAGCCAUCUGCCACCGUCUUUACUCAAAAUCCACGGGGAUUGGCAGCAGGAAAAAGUCAGGACCAGGUG
ensembl:lncRNA